UUGCUUCCGCUGAGAAGAUAGUGGCGAACGGGUGAGUAACACGUGGGUAACCUGCCCAUAAGAGGGGGAUAACAUCCGGAAACGGGUGCUAAUACCGCAUAGUUUUCUUGAUCGCAUGAUUGAGAAAGGAAAGACGGCCUUUGUGCUGUCGCUUAUGGAUGGACCCGCGGCGUAUUAGUUAGUUGGUGAGGUAACGGCUCACCAAGACGAUGAUACGUAGCCGACCUGAGAGGGUGAUCGGCCACAUUGGGACUGAGACACGGCCCAAACUCCUACGGGAGGCAGCAGUAGGGAAUCUUCCGCAAUGGACGAAAGUCUGACGGAGCAACGCCGCGUGAGUGAAGAAGGUUUUCGGAUCGUAAAACUCUGUUGUCAGAGAAGAACAAGUCGGAGAGUAACUGCUCCGGCCUUGACGGUAUCUGACCAGAAAGCCACGGCUAACUACGUGCCAGCAGCCGCGGUAAUACGUAGGUGGCAAGCGUUGUCCGGAUUUAUUGGGCGUAAAGCGAGCGCAGGCGGUUCCUUAAGUCUGAUGU
rnacentral:rRNA from 1 species